rnacentral:rRNA from 1 species
CCGAGAAUAUUCCGCAAUGGGCGAAAGCCUGACGGAGCGACGCCGCGUGAUGGACGAAGUCUUUCGGGACGUAAACAUCUUUUAUGCGUGAGGAAGUUAUUGACGUUAGCGCAUGAAUAAGGAGCUCCUAACUCUGUGCCAGCAGGAGCGGUAAUACAGAGGCUCCAAGCAUUAUCCGGAAUCACUGGGCGUAAAGGGUGUGUAGGCGGUCGUGUUAGUCUUUCGUGAAAGGUCUUGGGCUUAACCCAGGAACCGCGGAGGAAACGGCACGACUUAGAGGACGCGAGAGGUAAGGGGAACUCAUGGUGUAGGGGUGAAAUCCGUUGAUAUCAUGGGGAACACCAAAUGCGAAGGCACCUUACUGGCGCGCUCCUGACGCUGAAACACGAAAGCGUGGGAAUCGAACGGGAUUAGAUACCCCCGUAGUCC